GACGAACCGUGCGAACGUUGUUCGGAAUCACUGGGCUUAAAGCGCGUGUAGGCGGUCCGGUAAGUCCGCUGUGAAAGUCGGGGGCUCAACCCUCGAAUGCCGGUGGAUACUGUCGGACUAGAGUUCGGAAGAGGCGAGUGGAAUUCCCGGUGUAGCGGUGAAAUGCGCAGAUAUCGGGAGGAACACCAAUGGCGAAGGCAGCUCGCUGGGACGUGACUGA
rnacentral:rRNA from 1 species